rnacentral:rRNA from 1 species
GACGAACGCUGGCGGCGUGCUUAACACAUGCAAGUCGAACGGAAAGGCCCUGCUUUUGUGGGGUGCUCGAGUGGCGAACGGGUGAGUAACACGUGAGUAACCUGCCCUUGACUUUGGGAUAACUUCAGGAAACUGGGGCUAAUACCGGAUAGGAGCUCCUGCUGCAUGGUGGGGGUUGGAAAGUUUCGGCGGUUGGGGAUGGACUCGCGGCUUAUCAGCUUGUUGGUGGGGUAGUGGCUGACCAAGGCUUCGACUGGUAGCCGGCCUGAGAGGGUGACCGGCCACAUUGGGACUGAGGUACGGCCCAGACUCCUACGGGAGGCAGCAGUGGGGAAUAUUGCACAAUGGGCGGAAGCCUGAUGCAGCAACGCCGCGUGCGGGAUGACGGCCUUCGGGUUGUAAACCGCUUUCGCCUGUGACGAAGCGUGAGUGACGGUAAUGGGUAAAGAAGCACCGGCUAACUACGUG